GAAAGCGUAGCUGAAGGAAGGGAAACGAAAAAAACGUCACAUUUUCAAGCCAAGGCGUACCUUAAAGCGACUCCCUACGUGACUCCAUAGUGCAAGAGACCAGUGGCUUAAAUAUUAUAGGAUUUUCUUUCUUAUAAUUAUUUUACCGCUCAUCUGUGGCCCUUUCUCGUAUUUUUCCCAUUAUUGAUUUCUCAUGUUCUUAUUUUGCAAUGCCUUAGCUGUAAAUGAUGAAGCAAUCCAAUUAUAUACAUGAAUUUGUGUCACUUGAAGCGAACCUACAUGACCCACCAAGAGACCGCGGGCUUAUAUAUUCUAGGAUUUUCUUUCUUAUAAUUAUUUGAGCGCUCAUCUCUGGUCUUUUUCGUAUUUUUUCCAGCAUUAAUUUCUCAUGUUCUUAUUUUGCAAUGCCUUAGCUGUUAUUAUAUUAAAGUAUUAUUUAUCUACAUAUGAGUAUUACUGUAAAUGUGUGCCAUUCGAAAGAAGUAUGUGCUCAUAUGUAAACAAGACCUGACAACAACAAUUUAAACUCCAUGGACCCAACUCCAAACACUCAGGAGGAACCAAACUUGUCAAAUGAUGAAACAGUGCGUUUGGUUAACAUCAUGGCAUAAAAACAAUGUAUAAUAAAGGGACGGUUUCACGCUUCCCUGACCCAUGCAGAUAAGAAACCUGCAUGGGAAGACCUUAUGAACUGUAAAUGCAUGCCUGCAAUUUACAUGUGAAAAGAACUGAAGAACAAGUUGUAAACUUGUCAAGUGCUGUCCCACUCACGGAAGAAGAUUGCCAAUAUCAACAAAGAGCAGAAUCAAUCAGAACGACUGUACGAGCUCCGCAAGACAAGCCUGGCCCGGGUGAUCUGCGACAACAGUGAACGCAAGCUACGGUACGUCCAGCCCAAAGUAAUGCUGGAGGCCGACUCUUUCCUGUAAGUAAUAAUGCCUUGUCACUGUUGCCAUUGCUAUUUAGUGACCCAAGGAGUGAAUGAAUAUGAAUAAGAAAACUUUUGAAGAUAGGCUAGUAUGUCUAACCUCACCAUUCUUCCCCUCAUGGACUUAACCAAUUUAACCACUCACUUUCUUAUCUAGGGCCUCGUGUAUGGAACUCUGUGCCUCUCCAAAUUCAGGAUGUACCCUCUAUCACCACAUUUAAAACAAAAUUUUAAAAUCUGAUCUUAGCUACCUACUAAUUUGAAUUAUUACCUCAUUCUAAAGCAAUAGUGUAUCCAGACUCUUCUUCUUAUCAUAUCUACCACACUACUUUAAACCUCUGCUUUAAAAAGGCUAACUACAACAGACACAUUAAACCUCACUAUGUAUAUAUCUCCUAAAUGUAACUGUUAGUUAUUAAUAAAUGUUCAAAUGUUCUCUCUCUGUUUCCUUAUUUUAAAGCAGAUGAAAAAGGAGCCACUGAGGUGCUGGUCCUUAACCACAAAUAAAAAUAACAAGAAGCAUCGGCCAAGAAGAGAUUACGCGUGGAAAGAGGAAGGAUUGGGGCUCAGCUCACGGCAACAGCACCCGUGUGUGCGUUCUUGGGCCGUUCCGGAUCUGUGGACUUCCGGCGAGCAAAUCCCUUCUUUUAAAGCUUGGUGUUGACUGACCUCUGACAACCUGACUGGUGGUGAGUCCAUUCCAGACUAUUCCAGUCACCCACCACUCUUUCUGACAACCAAUUCCUCCAUACCUAACUGUCACAAGCCUCACUCCACUACCACACAGGGUCAAGCAGAGGUCACUACGAGGGUAAAGGUCAAUUUUAAGGCCGUAUAAUUUCAAAGUAUAAUCACAGAGUACCACAAUAAAAAUACAAACACAAUCUCUUCAAAUCAUAAUGGGUGAACAAACUCACACACACACACACACACACACACACACACACACACACACACACACACACACAAGCCAGACAUGAACAACACCACCACUGGUCAUUGCUUGUUUGAGAGCAGAGAUAAAAUACUGGACAACUUCUUGACUUGGUAAUGCUGUGUCCACCAUCUGAGGUCCAUUCCUGCAGUCACCGACAGCUGCACUCAGCUAAGUGGAGGAAAGGAAAGUCUGAGUGUGAUGCAGGUGGUGGUGGUGGUGGUGGUGGUGGUGGUGGUGGUGUGGUGUGGUGUGGUAUAUUGGUGUUGAUAGAUGAAAAGAAUUAAAGUCAAAGGAAAUUAUCAGAAAAAAUAAGAGAAGAAGAGAAUGUGGAAGAUCUGAGAGACACAACAAGCACAACAGACCAUUCAGGGCAAGACAGAACAAAAGGUGUUUUACUGACUAUACAACAAGCAUGACAGACACAGGACAAUGGAGGACAGGCAAGUCUACCCCUUGAAGCACAGCAACGCAGAACAAGGAAAAAAAAGCACAACAGCUUCUCAGUCAGGACAAAACAGAAGAACAGCACACCAUUUCUUCCUCUGUGCCAGAAAACAUUGUAAAGCAGCCACGUUUCAGACCAGGCCAGGCACAGAUGUACUGAACCAAUAGCAAACCACAGACACACACAAGCCAACUAACACACAAACACACAAACAUAUAUUAUUUAGAGCCAUGCACAUAAACAAACACAAAUAUUAAGUUAUGUUGCUUGAAUUUUUUUUUUUUUAGGCAUGCAAUAAAAUUAUUAAAGAUGCUGUUUGCAAAAUACUAAGCACAAUGUAACUAUACACAAAAAUUUAUGAUGCAUUGGUUAAGACCUGUAGUGUGUGUGUGUGUGUGUGUGUGUGUGUGUGUGUGUGUGUGUGUGUGUUUGUAAUUACUUUGAAUAUAACUUUAUGUCAAACUUCAUUGAAUUCACCAAAUAAAUAAAUAUUCAUAAAAUAUCAAA